GCGUUUGUAGCCUAGUUGGUAAAGGCAGCACUCUAGUAUGUGUCUCAGCAUAGCUGAGGUCGUGAGUUUGACUCUCACCAGACACA
rfam:Puccinia triticina 1-1 BBBD Race 1 supercont2.150, whole genome shotgun sequence.